CCAUCGGGGGAGCAGCUGGAUGCGCGUCGGGACUCCGUUGACAGUUUUUUAGACGCUAGCCUCGGGAUCACUUUGCUUGAGAUUCUGUAUCACUGUAACAUGUCCCCACACUGGAUACUUUACACCUAUUAUUUAUAAUGCUCACAACAGCUUUGCAAGAAUUGGACCCCAGACCCUAGAACACGUCACAGCUGGACUGCUGCCGUAGGGGUGGACAUACGAAGCUGAUCCUUCCUCAGCGGCCCCUUCUCCUCUGAGAAGGGCAGGGGACGAGGGGAGUCUUGUAAAUAACUUACCAGGGCACUAUUUGAAAAUGACUGCUCUGCAACUGUGAUCCCUGCUUUUUGGAGGGUGCUGAGCCCAAAGAGGGGGACGAUGGAUUUUACUGUCCAAGACGAGGUCAGCAAGCUUUGUCUGUGAGCUCAAUACGUGAAAGGUAUUGAAUUGCAUGCCUUAGUAGAUUUUAUAAUGUGAAUAAUCAGACUGCUGGCUUAUCUUUUUGUAAUUUUCCUGUUAAGAUUGUCCCUUUUCUUAAUAAGAGAUGUAGUCUCCAGUUUUUGUUACUCUUCAGAAAUGGUUCAAGUACAGUAUAGUAUUAUUACUACAGAUAGAUUGCAGCCAUUAAACACUCUCUGAUUUUUCUUGA